rnacentral:misc_RNA from 1 species
GAUGAAGAACGUAGCGAAAUGCGAUACGUAAUGUGAAUUGCAGAAUUCAGUGAAUCAUCGAGUCUUUGAACGCACAUUGCGCCCUCUGGUAUUCCGGGGGGCAUGCCUGUCCGAGCGUCAUUAAGUCCACUUAAGCCCUGCUUAGUGUUGGGAGACUGCUCCAGCGGUGCUACCCUGUAGCUACCCUGCAGCUCCUCAAAGACAGCGGCGGAGUUGUGGUAUCCUCUGAGCUUAGUAACUUGUUCUAGCUUUCGAGUACACCACUUCCCCUGCCGUAAAACCCUUAAUUUUUAAUGGUUGACCUCGGAUCAGGUAGGAAUACCCGCUGAACUUAAGCAUAUCAAUAGCGGAGGA